AUGAAAUUAUUUUACAUUCUCAUCCCUGUUAUCCUCUUGAUUUCUCAAGCCAUGGCAGCUCCUGAAGGCUGUAAACAGGAAAGACAGACUGAGUGGAAAGACUUGGCACAGAAGAAAGGCACCUUCAUCAAUGCCUUCAUCAACAAUUAUGAGCACCAUUACUGUGACUCUUCUACCACUGUGUGCCUGAGGAGGAAAACAAAGUGUAUUCGCAUGCCAGGGUUUUGCCCUGGCAGGAGCUUCUGCUGUAUGAGAACAUGACCUGAGGAAGUUAUCUUUCCUGUCCUUCCUGAAUUAUAUCAGAACACUGAGA